GGGAGGCGCCAGCUUCCUCCUUUCCCUGUCGCCCGUCGCUGUGGUAAGGCGGCUGCGGGAGCGCCGGGUUCCUGACGGGCGGGGGAAGGGGUGGUCCUUGCUGGCCUCUUCCCUUCACAUCUUGCCCUCUCGGAGCCUGGCGGUGCUUCGGGGAGUCAACACAGGGGGAUAGAGCACCUUUCCCUCACAAAAACCCAGUGCGGAGCCUUCCCCUCCGCCCUGCAUCCUGUCGUGAGGCACAAGCGGUCCCGCUCCCUCUCUUCCCCGGCCUCCCUAGCUCUCAGGGCUGACUUAUCUCUCUACUUCCCGCAGUGUGGAGGGACGAAGGCAGCGGGAAGCGUCCCAUGGCACCGGCAAGGCUGCCAGAUGGCCCCGAAGGCUUUGUCUGUUGGGUGGCCGUGCCCGGCGUGAGCAGCAGACACGGGGUAGUAGGCCUUGCUAGCGGGGAGCGCUGGGGAGUUGGAGUCGUGCCUUUGACCGCCCAUAGAGGCCCCACUUAGCAAUUUCAUGUUUGAAAUAUUUUAAAUGUGGAUGAUGAAACCCCAACUGGAAGCAAUGCUCAGGGCUUCUUAGGAACAUAGACCUUCUGCUAGAAGCUUUGUCAAGUCUGGUGCUUUAUGGACAUGUGAUAAAUGCCUUCAGUGAAAAGAGGUCCUUGAAAACUGGUUGAUCUCCAGGUAUGUAGCGUAAAAGGGUUUAUCAGAUGUUAGGGGAUGGGUUGCCUUCUGUAUCUGAAGUUUAAUUUAUUCCUUACCUGAAAACGAAACAAACAAAAAAAAACAAACCCACCAAAAGCUCAACCUUAGGCCAGUUACCUCUUUUGUGUAUGCAGGAUGCUGACUGCAAAUAAAAUGUCUUUUACAGGAAGAAAACCAGCAUGCGCAAGGGACUUGAACUGAUAUUAAACAUCUUAUGGUUUCAAGGAGCAGCCAGUUUCUGAACUCAUACUAGAUGGCUCCAGUUGUCACCUGCAAUGUAUUGUCUUGAAAGUGGAAUUGAGACAAACAGUUGCUAAAACUAUGUCCCUUCAAUGAUCAUGUUUAAACAGGAACCUCACCUUUUGUUGAAAUAGGUUUCUUACAAAAACUCAUGUAACUUAUGUCUGUGUGGAUUAAUUGAAAUAAAAUAUGAGAAUGCUACCAGAA